AGCAGCCGCGGUAAUUCCAGCUCCAAUAGCGUAUAUUAAAGUUGUUGCAGUUAAAAAGCUCGUAGUUGAAUUUCGGGAUCAAUAUUUCGGUCAUGCCGUUGGUAUGCACUGUUAUCAUUGAUUUCUCACCUUCUAAAAGAACCGUAAUGCCAUUAAUUUGGUGUUACGGGGAAUUAGGACUGUUACCUUGAAAAAAUUAGAGUGUUUAAAGCAGGCUCACGCUUGAAUACAUUAGCAUGGAAUAAUGAAAUAGGACAUCCGAUUCUAUUUUGUUGGUUUCUAGGAUCGAUGUAAUGAUUAAUAGGGAUAGUUGGGGGCAUUAGUAUUCAAUUGUCAGAGGUGAAAUUCUUGGAUUUAUUGAAGACUAACUACUGCGAAAGCAUUUGCCAAGGAUGUUUUCAUUAAUCAAGAACGAAAGUUAGGGGAUCGAAGACGAUCAGAUACCGUCGUAGUCUUAACCAUAAACUAUGCCGACUAGGGAUCGGAUGAUAGUUAAUUUUUAAUGUACUCAUUCGGUACC
rnacentral:misc_RNA from 1 species